rnacentral:rRNA from 1 species
UACUCCUACGGGUGGCUGCAGUGGGGAAUCUUAGACAAUGGGGGAAACCCUGAUCUAGCCAUGCCGCGUGAUCGAUGAAGGCCUUAGGGUUGUAAAGAUCUUUCAGAUGGGAAGAUAAUGACGGUACCAUCAGAAGAAGCCCCGGCUAACUCCGUGCCAGCAGCCGCGGUAAUACGGAGGGGGCUAGCGUUAUUCGGAAUUACUGGGCGUAAAGCGCACGUAGGCGGAUUAGAAAGUCAGAGGUGAAAUCCCAGGGCUCAACCUUGGAACUGCCUUUGAAACUCCUGGUCUUGAGGUCGAGAGAGGUGAGUGGAAUUCCGAGUGUAGAGGUGAAAUUCGUAGAUAUUCGGAGGAACACCAGUGGCGAAGGCGGCUCACUGGCUCGAUACUGACGCUGAGGUGCGAAAGCGUGGGGAGCAAACAGGAUUAGAUACCCCUGUAGUCCCGG